AUCUUCCAGCUCCAAACAAGGCUCAGCUCCAAACAUCUCCGCAUCUGUUCUGCGCCGCGGAUCUCCAUCGCCGGAGCUCGCCGCAGCCCCGCUCCCCCCUCCUUGUGCCCCCGCCCCGCGAGCCCGAGCCCCUGAUGGCGGCCGCCGUGCCCCCAUUCGCCGCUGCCCCGGGCGCAGCCAUUGCCGCCUCCACGGCCGGCCACCCUCCCCGGCACCUGCUGCUGAGCCACCCUCCCCGGCACCUGCUGCUGACUCUGCCCGGCGGAUCCCCCGCGCGCCGGAGCCCUCGCUGCCGGCCGUUGCGCGCGCGAAGCCCCUGUUGCCGGCCGCCGAGAAAUUGUAGUUGUGGCUGUGACAACGUGAGUUUUAACUUUGCUGGUCUCUGAUGUAUCUUGAUCUGCAGUCAUGCAUUUGAACCCAAUUCCAAGAUAUUGUGUUUCAAUUGAUAGUGCUGAGGAUGAGGAUAACAAUUCUAUUUGACUUGAUAACACUCUUGGGCUUGUAGAUUUAAUGACGGCACCAGUUCAGCUGGAUAUGCAAAGAUUUAAAUUCAGAACUCUGCAUACAAGAUGCAUGUCGUUGUUGAACUAUUCAGAGAACCAGAGAGCCGCACAGAUAAUUGGAAUUCACAUUCAUCUUCAGCUGGCAACCUAGACAUUCUGUAUGUGGUCUCCAAGUCAUCAAUUGCAAUUGCAGACCUGUUGCAUGUAAGCAGAUUCUUGGAUGCUACAGCAAGGAAUCGGGGACCAUGUACGAAAACAUUCCGCCAAAAUAGCAAAAAGAUGAACUGGGAUUCUGAAAUGCUGAUCUCACAAUGUGUGCAUGAACCAUUUCAAGGUUGAACCACAUCCAGCCUGGUUGCUCACCAACCAGCAGCUCCUCGAAAACAUCUAAAUUGUAGUGUAGUUAGGAAUUUGUUACAGUGUAUGUGAUGUUUAUGGAACUAUACAUAAAUUGUUCAUGCUUCUUGUAUUGUACUUCUCAAAUUGUACAGUGUAUGGAUGUGUUACAAAAAAGAUACUAUUCUGAAAUAAAUGUGGAUGUUCUUGAAUAUGA